rnacentral:lncRNA from 1 species
ACACCAAAAAAUAAAAUAAAAUAAAAAAUAUAUUAAUUUUUGUGGAACACUCGCUUGAGUUAAAAAAAAUUGAUAAUGUAAUUUUUUACAAUAUUAAUUUUUUAGACAUACGUGAGCUUCCACAAAAAUUAAUAUAUACCUUUUUUGUUUUUAUUUUAUUUUGGAGGAUAAUUUGAUAAUCUAAUUUUUUAUUAAUAUCCAAAAAAGAAACAUUAUUGUAAGAGUGUAAUAUUGUAAAAGCAAGUUAAAAGGAAUAAAAAAUAUUGGCAUGAGUGUCAAUAUUUUGCAACAGGGACGUUUCGAGGUAUUUUUUAAAAUACAUGGACUAAAUAGACACUAAUAUUAAAAUAUAGGGACUAAAUAGACAUUAAUACUAAAAUAUAGGGACUAAAUGGACUUUUACCCUAAGGAAAAUAUCACAUAUUUGACCAAAUAUUUUCGGGAAAAAUUGUUGUUCAUAGGCCAUAAUAAACUCACAUACAUCACUUUUAUGAGUUUUCUCAAGUAAAAUUAUGAUUUUUGUUGGGGAACUUAGCAUAAGAUUUCUAGAUAUCCAACCAAAAAGACUCGCUUCUUAGGUGGAGUGACCUACUACUUUAUAAACCCAAGCAUCUCCCCUUUACUAGCUAAUGUGGGACACAACUCAACAAUUCCCCCCGGACGAAACCACCGCCGGACUCUGAUCCUUUCGUCCGACACACCUAAGUUGUUCCACCACCACAUUCCGGCUACUAAGGUCUAGCUCUGAUACUUGUUGGAGGGACUUAGCAUAAGAUUUCUAGGUAUCCAACCCAAAAGACUAGAUUCUUAGGUGGAGUGACAUACCACCUUAUAAACCCAAGCAUCUCCCCUUUACUAACCAAUGUGGGACACAACUCAACAAUUUUAGAAGUACUUUAAACGGGGUUCGUUGGGCAGACGGUGGCAUAAACUAUAUUGUUCUCAAAGGCAUUACUGAUUUAAUCCAUUUAAGGAUUGUAAAUGGUGCUCGGGUCUGGAUCGUCCGGAUUUUACAAAAUCUAUCAACAGCCAUUUGAUUUACUUGACUCACAUGCUUUGCGCGUGAGUCACUUUAGUUCUUCAGUACGGCGUCCUCGCACUGUCUUUUAGAGCAUCCCUCGUGCCUCGUACUUACUCUGGUAGACGACAUUAACUGUUCAUCAUACGAGUCUCCUUUCAAAAAACCGACAUGCCGUAUUCAAAUGGAUGACAGGCACUGUGUAUCCCUUUCUUAUAACCGACAAUGUCAUCUCAAGUGGAUUAUAGAUUCUUUCAUUUUUGACCCUAAUACUAUAUGUUGCUCUUUUUAGGCAAAACAGAGCAUUAUGUAAUUUAAACUACUAAAAAUUUGUAUAGAAGAUUUCUGUGUAGGCUUGGCAAAACCCCGGGUCCGGUCCGGGUUUGGUGCAACCCAGGACCGGACCGGAUGCCAAAAAUUAAAACCCGGACCCGGACAAAACCCAAUUUUUGUAUGUCCGGUCCGGGCUUGAGCCCGGCGUUUCCCGGGUCCGGGUUUUGUCUUCCGGGCUUCUAAGCCCGCAAACAAAUAUUUCAAAAAAAAAAUUCUUUCAUUUUUAUUAAGAUGUAACAGAUUAAAAAUAAAUUGAAAAUAAACAAUGGCUCCCUUUUAAUCAGUAGAGUCAUACAACUAUCUUAAAUUGAAAAUAAAUUUGAUUAAGAUGUAACAAAUUGGUAGAAGUUAUCCAAUAAUGGUCAAAGCGGCAGAUGGUAAGUGGCAUGCACCAAGCAACUUAAUUAAUUAAACAAUAAGCUUAGUCCUCCGUUAAUGUGUGUACAUGUACAUCUGCACUCUGACUCUGCAGUCGGCACAACAACUUGUUAUUGACUCGAAAACAACUUUAUAAUUCACUUGAUAAGCUAAUGCGGCUGCAGCCAAAAUAAAUAUCACCAAACAAGUGAAACAACAAUACAACACGCAUGCACAUUUCUUGUGUAUCAUAAUACAAGAUAAAUCUCAAACUUAAGUCAAAGAAAAAUUAGAGAAAUAGUUAAAUACAAACUUAUAACAUACUAACAAUACCAAUUUUGCACAAAUAAUAAAUAAAAAUUCAUCUAACUUCUAACCUAAACUCAUUCAAUCUAUAUAUAAAAAAAAAUUAAAUCCAAUAACCCAAUAAAUCUAAAUAACAUCCAACAUAUAUCAUAAGUUCAUAAUAAUGACACCAAUUAUCAAUACAACACAUGAAAAUCCUAAAAUGUUCAACAACUCAAAAAAUAGUUCAUAAAAGAGUGAUAUGUCCGGGUUUUAAAUUCUAAAACCCGGAUCCGCUUUUUCUGUAUAUGCGGUCCGGGUUUUGCCCGGACCGGAUUGGCCGGGUCCGGGCCGGAUCCGGUCCGGGCGGGUUUUGUUGACACCCCUAUUUCUGUGUCUCUGAACUUGGAAAAAUGUAAAAAAGGAAAGAGACAAGUGCUUGUUGCGAAUCCAAACUAGUCGCUCCACCUCCACUUGCAGGUCUAUGAUAAUAUAAGUAGCUAAUUGCUUUAUUAAUAGUCCUUCACAUUGGAAGUCCCCCAAAAAAAAAAAAUCUGAAUAAAGGGCGCCCUUAAUUUUAUAAAUGAUCAU